rnacentral:tRNA from 1 species
UCCCUGGUGGUUCAGUGGUUAGGACUCCAUGGUUCCAGUGCAGGGGGCUCAGGUUCGAUCCCUGGUUGGGGAA